GCCUGGGUAGUGCAGUGGUAGCACGUGUCCCCGGUAUGAAUGAAACGCUGGUUCGACUCCCGUCUGACGCC